GAUCAUGGCUCAGGAUGAACGCUAGCUACAGGCUUAACACAUGCAAGUCGAGGGGCAGCGCAGUGUAGCAAUACAUGGGCGGCGACCGGCGCACGGGUGCGUAACGCGUAUCCAACCUUCCCGUUACUCAGGGAUAGCCUUCCGAAAGGGAGAUUAAUACCUGAUGGUGUUCAAAUUCCGCAUGUUAUUUGAACUAAAGAUUUAUUGGUAUAGGAUGGCGAUGCGUGGCAUUAGGUAGUAGGCGGGGUAACGGCCCACCUAGCCGACGAUGCCUAGGGGUUCUGAGAGGAAGGUCCCCCACACUGGAACUGAGACACGGUCCAGACUCCUACGGGAGGCAGCAGUGAGGAAUAUUGGUCAAUGGUCGGAAGACUGAACCAGCCAAGUAGCGUGAAGGAUGAAGGUUCUAUGGAUUGUAAACUUCUUUUAUACGGGAAUAAAACACCUUACGUGUAGGGUCUUGUAUGUACCGUAUGAAUAAGCAUCGGCUAACUCCGUG
rnacentral:rRNA from 1 species